GAUGAAGAACGUAGCGAAAUGCGAUAAGUAAUGUGAAUUGCAGAAUUCAGUGAAUCAUCGAAUCUUUGAACGCACCUUGCGCUCCUUGGCAUUCCGAGGAGCAUGCCUGUUUGAGUGUCAUUAAAUUCUCAAGACCUGUCUGCUUUUUUGAUAGGUAUUGGAUUUUGGGGGUUGCAGGCUGUUUCAAAUAAAUAGCCUUGCUCUCCUUGAAUGUAUUAGUGGAGAAAAGCCAUUGAACUCCAUUGGCGUGAUAAAACCUAUCAAUGCCAGGAGCAAUAUCACUACUUCUCUCUGCUGUCUAACUGUGACUGUCUGUAUUAAUUAGUAUGGAUGGGGACAACUUGACCAACUUGACCUCAAAUCAGGUAGGACUACCCGCUGAACUUAAGCAUAUCAAUAAGCGGAGGA
rnacentral:misc_RNA from 1 species